UUGUCCAGGAAGCGAGUUACAAGUCAUUAAGAACGAUAUGUCUAAACAAAUAAGAUUCGUUGAAACCGCUUGCUUGCAUAAUUUCAUAGUAGACUUAUCCGUCGACUAUGCAUCUAGAUUCUCAUCUGCAUCGUUCGUAAAUGAUUAUGCAAAUUAAUUUCUAGCCGACCGAAUAAAUGUUACCCUGUUCUGGUAAAAAUUAUUGUUCAUUUGUAGCCUUUCGCAGCGGAAGAUUUAAACUAUUUUCUCCAGAACAAGUCGUAUUAUUGCGCAUUACUAUUAGGACAGCAGCUGCUUUGGGAAACUUUGGCGGUUCAAGUUCAAAAUCGUAGCUGGAAGGCGAGGUUCUAAUAUUGACGUUUACCUUCGAAUUACGUGUAAGUUAAAUGGAUGUUUAAAGGUGGAUUCGCUUGUUUAAACAUAGAGGACCCCUGCAUUAAACUGAAUAAUCCAAAUCUAAGAACUGUUACGUAAAACAAUUCACCGGAUGGGAGACGUCAACCCAGUCACAUAGUCGAAGACAUUACUUUUAAGUUCGUGACUUACUUGGAAGCGUUCUGCAACUUAUUGAAAUAUAUAUGAUACCGGUACAAAUGGUUAUAUAACAUUUACAAAAAGCAAUAACAAAAUGAAUUCAGUCAAAACUGAUAGACACAGCUGCUGUGGUGAGAAACACAAGACAAAAUCACCAUCAACAUCACCGAAGCUUGCUCCGAGAGCCAAGACGCCGUUCUGCACUCAGCCACCGGCCGUCCGACCAGAAAUUUCGUCAUCUUCACAUGGUACAGUAUUGAAGCCCCGGUGCUGUCUCGCGGCAAAGUCUAGCACAACCCGCAAGGAGGAACGACCCCGGUCCAUUCUGCAAUUGAAGAGUCUUACAAGUACUGAGAUGCUGUCUUUAACCAGGCCUGACAAGAAGCCACAGAGGCCUACAUCUUUCGCAGAUUCAAGAAGACACGAGUAUCUAUUACAGAAGAAUUUCGAUGAAAUUAAGCGGUGCCGAUAUAUUCGUCGGAAAGAAACUACACAAGAUAUGCAAGCACCAGUCAAUCCCAUUAAUAAGACGCGCAAUCAAUUCUCAAUUGGCAAAAUAAAAUAGCAUCUUAUCGUCUGCUACAUCAUGACAACCGAACUCACGCCACAUACCGGUAAUAUUUGUAUUAGAAAUAUUUUUUCCAAUCUAUAACACUGCAUCAAUUUUCGAUUAAUCUGUUAUGGAGAGGCCCUAGCCCGUUUAUACAAAGUCGAAUAAAAUGUUUGAACCA